UAUAUAGAGUGAGGCUACUAUGCUAUCGGAAGCACGGAGCCUUCCGUGCUUCUAGCUCGUUUUCGAUGUUGCGACUUUCGAAUCGUCGAUCGGCUCCGUUAAACUUGAUCUAGAGUAUUUGAAGUACUAGAAAAUAAAUUUUAUAAUUUUACGAUAUCAUUUGCCUAGUGAACGAAGGGGCUCAAAAUCAACGGCUGAAAAUAAAAAUCUUACAAAAUGUAAUAAUAUGACAUUAAAAUUUUAAAUCAAAGAUAUUGAUCUUGUUUUAUAUAGUAUAAAGAAUUUUCUAUCAAAAUUUCACAUGAUUUGGAUAUUUCUACACCGUUAAACUUGCAAACGGCUCACUACGGCCAUUAAAAUUUGUUGAUUUUGAGCCCAUUCGAUCACUAGGCAAAUGAUAUCGAAAAAUAAUAAAAUUUAUUUUCUAGGUACUCCAAAUACUCUAGAUCAAGUUUAACGGAGCCGAUCGACGAUUCGAAAGUCGCAACAUCGAAAACGAGCUGGAAGCACGGAAGGCUCCGUGUGCUUCCGAUAGCAUAGUAGCCUCACUCUUAUUUUUUUAUAUAUAUAUAUAGAGUUUUGCUAGAAUACUAUCAGUAGUAAACGAGCCGUUUUACUAACUAUUUGUUUUCGAUGAUAGAGCUUCCAAAUUGACGAUUGGCUCUGUUGAACAUGAUCUAUACCACUUGAAGUGUUUAGAAAUCAAAUUUCAAAUCUUUUCGACAUCAUUUGCCUAAUGAUCAAAGGGUUUCAAAAUUUGUAAUUUUAAUGGUCGAUAAGAAGCGUUUUCUCGUUUAACGGUGUAAAGAUAUCCAAAUUAAUUGAAUUUUUGUUAGAAAAUUUUUUAAACUAUUUAACACAAGAUUUAUACUCUUGAUCUUGAUUACAAGACUCCUAUCAUUAUUUUUUAAAGAAUAUUCAUUUUCAACCAUUCAUUUUUCUGUUCACUUGAUGGAUAAAAGAACAAUAUCGAAAGUGCGUGAAAUUUGAUUUCUAGGUAGUUUAAAUGGUUUAGAUCAUAUUUAACGGAGCCGAUCGUCAAUUAGAAAGCUCUAUCAU
rnacentral:lncRNA from 1 species